UACGUAGGGACCAAGCGUUGUUCGGAUUUACUGGGCGUAAAGGGCGCGUAGGCGGCAUGACAAGUCACUUGUGAAAUCUCUGGGCUUAACCCAGAACGGCCAAGUGAUACUGUCGCGCUAGAGUGCGGAAGGGGCAAUCGGAAUUCUCGGUGUAGCGGUGAAAUGCGUAGAUAUCGAGAGGAACACCUGAGGUGAAGACGGGUUGCUGGGCCGACACUGACGCUGAGGCGCGAAAGCUAGGGGAGCAAACGGG
rnacentral:rRNA from 1 species